UGAUCCAGCCAUGCCGCGUGAGUGAAGAAGGCCUUCGGGUUGUAAAGCUCUUUCGGCCGGGGAAGAAAUGGCAACGGCUAAUAUCCGUUGUUGAUGACGGUACCCGCAUAAGAAGCACCGGCUAACUACGUGCCAGCAGCCGCGGUAAUACGUAGGGUGCGAGCGUUAAUCGGAAUUACUGGGCGUAAAGCGUGCGCAGGCGGUUUCGUAAGACAGACGUGAAAUCCCCGGGCUCAACCUGGGGAACUGCGUUUGUGACUGCGAGGCUAGAGUACGGCAGAGGGGGGUAGAAUUCCACGUGUAGCAGUGAAAUGCGUAGAGAUGUGGAGGAAUACCGAUGGCGAAGGCAGCCCCCCUGGGUUAGUACUGACGCUCAUGCACGAAAGCGUGGGGAGCAAACAGGAUUAGAUACCCCUGGUAG
rnacentral:rRNA from 1 species